GUUUUCAGGCGGCCUCCUGAGAAAUGUUUGCAAUUGUAAGGCGUCUCUCUCAUCCAGGUUUACCCAGAUUCGCAAACUAUGGCGACAAACAACCAUAGCAGAAGCAUGUCCGGAUUAUUUCACAUAUAUCACAAAAUCCUGCAAAGGGUCUGUCCCCAUUGGAUCACCUCCCAUCACGCCACACACGACGUGAAUGACUUCGUGCUUCUCCAUACCUGCAUUGAUCUCUGGGUCCAUUGCCAGUUAUAAACCUCCAAGGGCAAUAGCCAUGAGCCUAUUGCUCCUAGGCUACAAACCUGUAUAGCAUGUUACUGUACUGAAUAUGUAGGCACUUGUAACACAAUGGUAAGUGUUUUUGUAUCUAAACAUAUCUAAACAUAGGAGAGGUAAUGCAUUGUGCUACAGCAUUACAAUGGCUAUGACAGACACUAGGCAAUAGGAAUUUUCCAGCUCCAUUAUAAUCUUAAGGGACCACCAUGGCACAUGCAGCCCAUUGUUGACCAAAAGUUGUUAUGUGGUGAAUGACUAUAAUUGGCUUUUCAGAGCAACCACUCACAAGGGGGUGUAGUAUAGCUUACUAGACAAAACUGCAGCCGCUGCUCUGUUUUUUGCUCUUAGAAAACUGAGUACCUGAUUUGGACAAAAUCAUAAUAAAAUUUAGAUAGAGCCAACAUUUGUCCUCUGGAAGUUUCUGACAAGAUACAAGUCACCGUUAUAAUAGUCAAAUGUCAAAGUGGUAUAUCUAACAAAAUUAAAACAGACAGCUAGGAGUGAGAAGAUUUAAGAAAAUUCAGGUGGCCCAAAGGAAAGCCAAGACAAGACAUUCUCUCCCGGCCUUUGGGCCUGGAUUUUCAUUUCAGCAGGUAACGAGGAGACCAAAGGCCUAGUUAUUUAUGGAGAUCUGGGGCCACAGCAGAGCUCCUCAUGGCAGGAUAAGGCAGUGGAAAGCAGACUCAACGGUUAACCCACAGUCCUCCUCAGCAAGCUGGGAGAAGCAACUGAUGCCACUUAGAUGCUUAGACCGGGCCUUCUGGGAGAGAUCUGGCCCAAGGAGCAGCCGGCAGCUUGACACAGUGACCAAUUGGAAGCACAGCAGCCACACGCCAUGAAACAAGACGGAGUUUCGCUCUUGGCUGGAGUGCAAUGUCGCAAUCUGGGCUCACCACAACCUCCACCUCCCGGGUUCAAGUGAUUCUCCUGCCUCAGCCUCCCAAGUAGCUGGGAUUACAGGCAUGCACCACCAUACCAGACUAAUUUUGUAAUUUUAGUAGAAACGGGGUUUUUCCAUGUUGGUCAGGCUGGUCCUGAACUCCCGACCUCGGGUGAUCCUCCCACCUCAGCCUCCCUAUAUUAUUAAUCUUAAGUCUAAAUGUUCUAUUAGAAAAGUUACAAUCACAUAUGCAGCUUGCAUUACAUUGCUAAUGGAACACGCUGCUCUAAACCAGGGAUUGGCAAACUAUGGGCAGUGGACAACUUCCAGCCCACUGUCUGUUUCUGUACAGCUGGUAAACAAGGAAUGGUUUUCACAUUUUUAAAUGGCAGAAAAAAAAUAAUUUGUGAUACGUGAACAUUAAUAAAAUUCAAAUUUCAGUGUCCAUGAAGAGUUAUAUUGGAAAAGAGAACCUACAACCAUUGCCUCUCCCGCUGCGUAAGUUCGGCAAAGGCUCACGCUUUUGUCUUUUGUUGGAUGAAUGACUACCAACACCUAGGACAGUGCCUGCACAAAUUAGGUGCCCUAUAAAUAUUUGUUGAGUCACUAAAUUUUAAAAUUCUAGAUUAUGGGGACUGUGUAGGAAGGACCUCAUUCUUUAGAGAACAUGAAUUACCCACUACUACAACUCGCUGUGUCCAUCCCUAAGCCAGAAGAGCGGAGGUUAAGACCCCAAGCAAGCCCACACGUAAUGACACAGGAAUGGAAAGCUGAUGCUCGGCCUGGUCUCCUGCUGAGCCUGGACACAGGCAUAGGCACUGCUGCAAUGGCAAGAGAAGCUCA
rnacentral:lncRNA from 1 species